CCUGGUGGUUUUUGCGAGGAGCCAAGAACCCGUUCCCAUUCCGAACACGGCCGUUAAAUUCCUCAGCGCCAAUGGUACUAAGUCUCAAGGCUUGGGAGAGUAGGUCGCUGCCAGGC
rnacentral:rRNA from 1 species